rnacentral:lncRNA from 13 species
CUAAAGGAGAGGAGGGGCCUCCAGGACCACAAGGGCCCAUGGGUGUAGGUGUUACAGGACCCCCGGGUAAAGACGGUAGAGGUGGAUCCAAUGGAAUCCCAGGAGCGGAUGGAAGAGAUGGAACUGAUGGGGUCAAGGGGGACAAGGGUGAACCUGGAGAGUGUAACUGUAUCAGCCCUCCACAUGCAGGAACAGGAGGAACAGGAGGACCAGUGAGUAUGGCUAGGUUGUGCGCGCGCACACACAGACAUGCAUACACACACACACACACACACACACACACACACACACACACACACACAC